rnacentral:rRNA from 1 species
CCUACGGGAGGCUGCAGUGAGGAAUAUUGGUCAAUGGGCGAGAGCCUGAACCAGCCAAGUCGCGUGAGGGAGUACUGCCCUAUGGGUUGUAAACCUCUUUUGUCGGGGAGCAAAAGCCGGACGUGUUCGGCUUUGAGAGUUCCCUUAUAAAAAGCAUCGGCUAACUCCGUUCCAGCCGCCGCGGUAAUAGGGGGGCUGCGGGGGUUAUCCGGAUUUAUUUGGUUUAAAGGGUGCUCAGGCGGAUUUUUAAGUCGGCGGUAAAAUCGUGGGGCCAAACCCCGAACAGCCGUUGAAACUGGGGAGCUAGAGUGUGCGAGAGGUAGGCGGAAUGCGUGGUGUAGCGGUGAAAUGCAUAGAGAUCACGCAGAACCCCGAUUGCGAAGGCAGCAUACCGGUGAACGACUGACGCUCAGGCACGAAAGCGUGGGGAUCGAACAGGAUUAGAUACCCGUGUAGUC